rnacentral:misc_RNA from 1 species
UCUCCGUAGGUGAACCUGCGGAGGGAUCAUUACAGAGUUCAUGCCCUACCGGGUAGAUCUCCCACCCUAUGUUAUUAUUACUUUGUUGCUUUGGCGGGCCGUUAGGCUCCGGCCCGACUACCGGCCCCGGCUGGUAAGCGCCCGCCAGAGGACCCAAAACCCUGAAUAUUAGUGUCGUCUGAGUACUAUAUAAUAGUUAAAACUUUCGACAACGGAUCUCUUGGUUCUG